UGGGGAAUAUUGGACAAUGGGCGAAAGCCUGAUCCAGCCAUGCCGCGUGUGUGAAGAAGGUCUUCGGAUUGUAAAGCACUUUAAGUUGGGAGGAAGGGCAGUAAGCGAAUACCUUGCUGUUUUGACGUUACCGACAGAAUAAGCACCGGCUAACUCUGUGCCAGCAGCCGCGGUAAUACAGAGGGUGCAAGCGUUAAUCGGAAUUACUGGGCGUAAAGCGCGCGUAGGUGGUUCGUUAAGUUGAAUGUGAAAGCCCCGGGCUCAACCUGGGAACUGCAUCCAAAACUGGCGAGCUAGAGUAGGGCAGAGGGUGGUGGAAUUUCCUGUGUAGCGGUGAAAUGCGUAGAUAUAGGAAGGAACACCAGUGGCGAAGGCGACCACCUGAGCUCAUACAGACACUGAGGUGCGAAAGCGUGGGGAGCAAACAGG
rnacentral:rRNA from 1 species